AUUGGCUGUCCACAGACCGGCCGUCGCUCUCACCGGCAGUAACAGGUCGAUUUUGUCUUCUGAAGCGAUACAAGUCGUCACGACUGUAUGGGACGGCAUGCUUGCAAGACAGGUCCCGCCGAGCAGAUCCUGUUCACUUGGCUGUGGUUCGGAGGGCUGUCGUUCCGAACAAUUGGCAAGCUGACCAGACGCAGUCCGAGCACGGUGCAGAAGUGGGUGAGGCGCCUGCUGUAUAUCAACGUUCUCAGAAGCAGAUACUACCAAAUGGCGGCAGCCGAUGCCCCUAAAAUCCCAUAUAUGGUCAUGGAUGAUGUGUAUUUCCAAAACAGCAUCCAAGAGUUUUCACAUGUCAGGCUGAGUGGCGAUUGUGUUUGCGGAUUAGAUAAUAUAGGAUUCUGCGCAUAAAAAAAAAAAUUGCAUUCAAAAUCACUGACGCUUUGAAUUAACAUAUCAAAUAAAUAAGGAUUUUAUAAUA